UUAAUUAUGUUAAACCAUGUUCAUGUAGAACUACCCGACCAUAUUGUGAUCCCUCCAAAAUUAAUCUUCGUAGGUCAACCUGCGAUUUGCUUGCGCCGCAAAGACAUCAAGCAGAAAAUUCAUGCUCAGGUCACAAAACAGAGAAAUCUUGCGAUAAUUGUGGAAACGGCAUCUGUGAAUUGUGACAAACGUGGGAUCAUACCACAAGAAGUAAAAAGUUAUUCAGAUAACUUUCUGGAAAGGAGGACUUUGAACAAAACCCUUGCUUUGGGUAAAAAAAUAUGAGGCAGCAACUGUGUACACCACCAUCUUCUGCUUAAAACAAUUGUUUAACGUGGUCAGAAAUUGCCUCAGAUCGCACCACAGAUCAAGCAUGUAGAAUCUUAACAUUUUUCCGGGGGCCCUAAUUAAGCAGGCCCUGAACCCCGUAAUUAACCCUUUUUUUGGUCCCCUUAAAAUUGUGUUCUGGAUCCUCCCUUGAUUCACGAUAGACUGUGCCAUUGAUUUUACUACAGAGUAUUGGAUUUUUGAGGAUUUGAGAGGCAUGGAGUGUUACAUUUGGUUUAAAGUAUAUACGAAAAUAAGUUAAGAACACAAGUGUGUGGUUUUUGUUAGGCUGCAUGGUUUGUGGUGACGACAGAUUUUAAGUGCAAGUAUAGUUUUAGGGGUUACAUGAAAUUUGUAUUUAUAGGAACACAUUUUGUGCAGCUUUCUUCUCUUAAAAAGUAUAAAGAUAUUUGACACCCCUUUUUGGAUUAUUUUAAUGAAAAAAAAAAUUCUUUAUAAACAUUCUAAAUUUUCCUAUGCCUACUCCGGACAACUGAGGGCGCUGUUGCCGUGAUGCCAUUUCAGGAAGACUAGUGUUCAAUUUUAGGUGUUUUCUGUUCAAAUUGUGAACCCGAAAAGUUUACUCAAUUGGCUUGCUCUCAUGUAAUGACACAAGGAAUCACUAAAGAAAUGAAAUUUUUUGACAGCGAAAUAUCCAAGAUUCUGAAAACUUUUAGUGCUGAAAGUAGUUGGAUCAUUGAGGUUUCUGCCUGAAAUGACGUCACACUUUUUCUCAUGAAUAUGGAGAUUUUCAUUAGCAUAAAAAAACAGAAACGUACCGAAAUACCUUUGAAAAAGGCCAAACGGAAUUUAAAGAAAAGGUAUAAUUAUGGGGCACAAAUGUGCAUUUUAAGGAUUACAUUAACAGAAUAUACAUUGCAUGCCCUUUAAGAGAAAUGUGAAUACUUAAAGUACUUCACACAGUAGGAAGACGACCAGUGCUCAAACCUUCGCUCUCUUUCAUGAAAAAAGGGUCUACUUGUCUUUUGAAAAAGCAUUAUUAAAAAUAGUAUUCAAAUAUUCAAUCAUCCACCAAUGAUCCGAAUAGCAUUAUCAUGUUCAAUUCAAAUAUUCAAAAAUAUACGUAAGGUCUUCAGGAGAUUGUGAAAAAUGUCCAUGUUAUUUUAAUGUUUAUUGUUUUAUUUUAUGAUUUUAGGAAAUUAAGUUUAAGGUCCAUGUUGCCUGGUUUGUGUUCUGUUUACAAUAAACACAAAUAAAAAUGAAAUGUUGUGAU
rnacentral:lncRNA from 1 species